rnacentral:ncRNA from 1 species
UCGCCAGGCUCAAAUGGGCUCGCUUGAGAGAGAUCUCUUGCGGAAUAUCUGUCAAAUUCGGUGAAACCUCUCUCGUAGUUCGAGGUGGUAAUACCGAGCCAAGCCCCAAACGAAAGUUAGGGAAAGGUGUAGAGACUAGACGGCAGACAUCCUUAUUCUCAGAGAGAACGGAUGAAGGUAUAGUCCAGACCACGAAUUCAUUUACCA